rnacentral:misc_RNA from 1 species
GAAAUGCGAUAAGUAGUGUGAAUUGCAGAAUUCAGUGAAUCAUCGAAUCUUUGAACGCACAUUGCGCCCCUCGGUAUUCCGUGGGGCAUGCCUGUUCGAGCGUCAUCUACACCCUCAAGCUCUGCUUGGUGUUGGGCGUCUGUCCCGCCUCCGCGCGCGGACUCGACCCAAAUGCAUUGGCAGCGGUUCCUUGCCCCCCUCUUUGCGCAGCACAUUGCCAUUCGAGGCGGCGGCGGCCCGCGUCCAACAAGCUCAACCCCCCCGUCUUUGACCUCGGAUCAGGUAGGGAUACCCGCUGAACUUAAGC